rnacentral:rRNA from 1 species
CCAGACUCCUACGGGAGGCAGCAGUGGGGAAUAUUGGGCAAUGGGCGCAAGCCUGACCCAGCAACGCCGCGUGAAGGAAGAAGGCUUUCGGGUUGUAAACUUCUUUUCUCAGGGACGAAGAAAGUGACGGUACCUGAGGAAUAAGCCACGGCUAACUACGUGCCAGCAGCCGCGGUAAUACGUAGGUGGCAAGCGUUAUCCGGAUUUACUGGGUGUAAAGGGCGUGUAGGCGGGAGUGCAAGUCAGAUGUGAAAACCACGGGCUCAACCUGUGGCCUGCAUUUGAAACUGUACUUCUUGAGUACUGGAGAGGCAGACGGAAUUCCUAGUGUAGCGGUGAAAUGCGUAGAUAUUAGGAGGAACACCAGUGGCGAAGGCGGCCAACUGGGCUUUAACUGACGCUGAGGCUCGAAAGUGUGGGGAGCAAACAGGAUUAGAUACCCGCGUAAU